AUCCAGUUGACGAGUCCUAAAUAGGACGAAACGCACGUCUUGGAU
rnacentral:hammerhead_ribozyme from 1 species